AGAGUUUGAUCCUGGCUCAGAUUGAACGCUGGCGGCAUGCCUUACACAUGCAAGUCGAACGGCAGCACGGGGGCAACCCUGGUGGCGAGUGGCGAACGGGUGAGUAAUACAUCGGAACGUGUCCUGUAGUGGGGGAUAGCCCGGCGAAAGCCGGAUUAAUACCGCAUACGCUCUACGGAGGAAAGGGGGGGAUCUUAGGACCUCCCGCUAGAGGGGCGGCCGAUGGCAGAUUAGCUAGUUGGUGGGGUAAAGGCCUACCAAGGCGACGAUCUGUAGCUGGUCUGAGAGGACGACCAGCCACACUGGGACUGAGACACGGCCCAGACUCCUACGGGAGGCAGCAGUGGGGAAUUUUGGACAAUGGGCGAAAGCCUGAUCCAGCAAUGCCGCGUGUGUGAAGAAGGCCUUCGGGUUGUAAAGCACUUUUGUCCGGAAAGAAAUCCUCUGCCCUAAUAUGGCGGGGGGAUGACGGUACCGGAAGAAUAAGCACCGGCUAACUACGUGCCAGCAGCCGCGGUAAUACGUAGGGUGCAAGCGUUAAUCGGAAUUACUGGGCGUAAAGCGUGCGCAGGCGGUUCGCUAAGACAGAUGUGAAAUCCCCGGGCUUAACCUGGGAACUGCAUUUGUGACUGGCGGGCUAGAGUAUGGCAGAGGGGGGUAGAAUUCCACGUAGCAGUGAAAUGCGUAGAGAUGUGGAGGAAUACCGAUGGCGAAGGCAGCCCCCUGGGCCAAUACUGACGCUCAUGCACGAAAGCGUGGGGAGCAAACAGGAUUAGAUACCCUAGUAGUCC
rnacentral:rRNA from 1 species